rnacentral:rRNA from 1 species
GAGCUGGGUUCAGAACGUCGUGAGACAGUUCGGUCCCUAUCUGCCGUGGGCGUAAGAAGAUUGAAGAGAUUUGACCCUAGUACGAGAGGACCGGGUUGAACAAACCACUGGGGUAGCUGUUGUUCUGCCAAGAGCAUCGCAGCGUAGCUAAGUUUGGAAAGGAUAAACGCUGAAAGCAUCUAAGCGUGAAGCCAACUCUAAGAUGAAUCUUCUCUAAG